GCCGAAGUGGCGGAAUCGGCAGACGCACUUGACUCAAAAUCAAGCGGACUUCGGUCCGUGGGGGUUCGACUCCCCCCUUCGGCACCA
rnacentral:tRNA from 1 species